UGGGAAUAAUCAAGUGUCCAGAAUUAAUUGAGCAUAGUGGGUGUGAGGGGCUAUAAUACACCAGGAGCUCCCCCAAAUACUGGCGAGCUAAGCUGUUCAGGGCUUUGUAGGUAGUCAAUAAAAUUUGUAAAAAAGUAAGAUUCACAAAUGAUUAUUUUUCCAUAGCGAAUGAUCAGUUUAAUCUCUGUUCUCAGGUGGCGGUGCUGAAAACAGAUGAUAAAGCUCUGGAGACAGGGUCGUGGUCCUGAUCUGGCUCUGGGAGUGAAGGCUAAUCCUUACAGCCUCAAAAGAUUGUAACCUUCCAUGUGUCAGAAAAUGGAGACACUCUGGUGCAGGAGGCAUUCGAGAUGGCUGUGGAGCAAGAGGAGACUGCUGUGGCACAAGAAGUGGAACAGGAAGUGGCACAGAUUGGCAUUGGUGCAUAUGAAGGUACUGAUUUCAGUGUGGUGGAGCAGAUCUCUGAGGAGACAACACACAGCAGUUUAGAGGAGCCCUCAGCAGAGCCUCAGGUGAUGGAAGUGAGUACUGAGCCCUUGUCCAUCUCUACACCUCUCAAAGAAAAUAAAGAGAAGUUUUACGUGAGCUCAGGCUUGACAGACGGAGUCCUGCAGUAGGUGAAGGUAAGACUGUGUUUUGUAAGAAUUCAGAUAGAAUAACCAAUAGUCCUAAUGGAAAGUUAAAUUGAUUAAAUCCUCUUUCUGCAGCUCAGCAGUGAAGCUCCAGCAUCUCCUCCGCUGUCUCCAUCACCCCAUUCUCAACAGCUGAACACCAAGCGCUUCUCAUGUCGCAUCUGCAUGGAGGCUUUCCAUGGCCGAUCGGACAUGGAGAACCACAAGAGGGCGCACAUCGACCCCAAAACAUUCAAAUGCCCCGACUGUGAUUUCGCAGCACCUUCUUAGCCAGAAGUCAAGACUCACAUGGCCUUGCAUGCAUAUUUGAGGCCUCAUAAAUGCACCAGCUGCAGUUUUGCCUCUAAAAACACGAAAGACCUGCGACGCCACAUGAUGACACACACCAACGAGAAGCCUUACUCCUGCCAGGUGUGCGCCUAAAGGUGAGCAAUCAUUCAAAUAAAUUAGCAAAUCUUAGAAUUUGUACUGUUUACAUUAUUAAUACAGAUACAACCAUAAAUGCUUUCCCAGCUUAAAGGUGCAGUAGGUGUCUGUCUUCAGAAGCAGUUGUU